rnacentral:rRNA from 1 species
ACUCCUACGGGAGGCAGCAGUGGGGAAUUUUGGACAAUGGGCGAAAGCCUGAUCCAGCCAUGCCGCGUGCAGGAUGAAGGCCUUCGGGUUGUAAACUGCUUUUGUACGGAACGAAACGGCCUUUUCUAAUAAAGAGGGCUAAUGACGGUACCGUAAGAAUAAGCACCGGCUAACUACGUGCCAGCAGCCGCGGUAAUACGUAGGGUGCAAGCGUUAAUCGGAAUUACUGGGCGUAAAGCGUGCGCAGGCGGUUAUGUAAGACAGUUGUGAAAUCCCCGGGCUCAACCUGGGAACUGCAUCUGUGACUGCAUAGCUAGAGUACGGUAGAGGGGGAUGGAAUUCCGCGUGUAGUAGUGAAAUGCGUAGAUAUGCGGAGGAACACCGAUGGCGAAGGCAAUCCCCUGGACCUGUACUGACGCUCAUGCACGAAAGCGUGGGGAGCAAACAGGAUUAGAUACCCGAGUAGUCCCAUG